UACGGGGGGGGCAAGCGUUGUUCGGAAUUACUGGGCGUAAAGGGCUCGUAGGCGGCCAACUAAGUCCGACGUGAAAUCCCAAGGCUUAACCUUGGAACUGCGUCGGAUACUGGAUGGCUUGAAUUCGGGAGAGGGAUGCAGAAUUCCAGGUGUAGCGGUGAAAUGCGUAGAUAUCCCCAAGAACACCAGUCGCGAAGGCGGCUGACUGGACACAUAUUGACGCUGAGGCUCGAAAGCAUGGGGAGCAAACAGG
rnacentral:rRNA from 1 species